rnacentral:rRNA from 1 species
AUUGAACGCUGGCGGCAGGCCUAACACAUGCAAGUCGAACGAGCGGCGGACGGGUGAGUAAUGUCUGGGAAACUGCCUGAUGGAGGGGGAUAACUACUGGAAACGGUAGCUAAUACCGCAUACCAUCAGAUGUGCCCAGAUGGGCUUAGCUGGUUGGUGGGGUAACGGCUCACCAAGGCGACGAUCCCUAUCUGGUCUGAGAGGAUGACCAGCUAAACUGGAGCUAGGAAACGGUCAAGACUCGUGCGGGAGGCAGCAGUGGGGAAUAUUGCACAAGGGGAGCAAUCCUGAUGCAGCCAUGCCGCGUGUAUGAAGAAGGCCUGCGGGUUGUAAAGUACUUUCAGCGGGGAGGCGUUACCGGCAGAAGAAGCACCGGCUAACUCCGUGCCAGCAGCCGCGGUAAUUC